GAUGAACGCUGGCGGCGUGCCUAAUACAUGCAAGUCGAGCGAACAGACGAGGAGCUUGCUCCUCUGACGUUAGCGGCGGACGGGUGAGUAACACGUGGAUAACCUACCUAUAAGACUGGGAUAACUUCGGGAAACCGGAGCUAAUACCGGAUAAUAUAUUGAACCGCAUGGUUCAAUAGUGAAAGACGGUUUUGCUGUCACUUAUAGAUGGAUCCGCGCCGCAUUAGCUAGUUGGUAAGGUAACGGCUUACCAAGGCAACGAUGCGUAGCCGACCUGAGAGGGUGAUCGGCCACACUGGAACUGAGACACGGUCCAGACUCCUACGGGAGGCAGCAGUAGGGAAUCUUCCGCAAUGGGCGAAAGCCUGACGGAGCAACGCCGCGUGAGUGAUGAAGGUCUUCGGAUCGUAAAACUCUGUUUUUAGGGAAGAACAAAUGUGUAAGUAACUAUGCACGUCUUGACGGUACCUAAUCAGAAAGCCACGGCGAACUACGU
rnacentral:rRNA from 1 species